UGCCCUAGUAACGGCGAGUGAAGCGGCAACAGCUCAAAUUUGAAAUCUGGCUCUUUCAGAGUCCGAGUUGUAAUUUGCAGAGGGCGCUUUGGCUUUGGCAGCGGUCCAAGUUCCUUGGAACAGGACGUCACAGAGGGUGAGAAUCCCGUACGUGGUCGCUAGCUAUUGCCGUGUAAAGCCCCUUCGACGAGUCGAGUUGUUUGGGAAUGCAGCUCUAAAUGGGAGGUAAAUUUCUUCUAAAGCUAAAUAUUGGCCAGAGACCGAUAGCGCACAAGUAGAGUGAUCGAAAGAUGAAAAGCACUUUGGAAAGAGAGUCAAACAGCACGUGAAAUUGUUGAAAGGGAAGCGCUUGCAGCCAGACUUGCUUGCAGUUGCUCAUCCGGGCUUUUGCCCGGUGCACUCUUCUGCAGGCAGGCCAGCAUCAGUUUGGGCGGUGGGAUAAAGGUCUCUGACACGUUCCUUCCUUCGGGUUGGCCAUAUAGGGGAGACGUCAUACCACCAGCCUGGACUGAGGUCCGCGCAUCUGCUAGGAUGCUGGCGUAAUGGCUGUAAGCGGCCCGUCUUGAAACACGGACCAAGGAGUCUAACAUCUAUGCGAGUGUUUGGGUGUCAAGCCCGAGCGCGUAAUGAAAGUGAACGGAGGUGGGAACCCGCAAGGGUGCACCAUCGACCGAUCCUGAAGUUUACGGAAGGAUUUGAGUAAGAGCAUGGCUGUUGGGACCCGAAAGAUGGUGAACUAUGCUUGAAUAGGGUGAAGCCAGAGGAAACUCUGGUGGAGGCUCGCAGCGGUUCUGACGUGCAAAUCGAUCGUCAAAUUUGGGCAUAGGGCGAAAGACUAAUCGAAC
rnacentral:rRNA from 2 species